UGGUACAACAUGUGUUUAGUUUUUUUAUUGAUAUUUCAUAGUUUUUGUAUGUGAGGUAAUCUUGCUGGAAGUGCAGUGUGUAUGACUGCUUGAUAUGAGAGACACAUCCUGUUUUUAAAGGUCAACUUUAUACUGUAAGCUUCAUUCCCUCUAUAACAGAGUUUUCGUAUGUGAGGUAAUCUGGCUGGGAGUGAAGGCAGUGCGUAUGACUGCUUGAUAUGAGAGACACG